AGUGAACGCUGGCGGCAGGCCUAACACAUGCAAGUCGAGCGGCAGCGGGUUCCCGCGAGGGGAUGCCGGCGAGCGGCGGACGGGUGAGGAACACAUCGGAAUCUGCCUGGUUGUGGGGGAUAACGUAGGGAAACUUACGCUAAUACCGCAUGCGACCCUGAGUCGACGGACUGGGGGUGAAAGUGAGGGACCUUCGGGCCUCACGCGACCAGAUGAGCCGAUGUCGGAUUAGCUAGUUGGCGGGGUAACGGCCCGCCAAGGCGACGAUCCGUAGCUGGUCUGAGAGGAUGAUCAGCCACACUGGGACUGAGACACGGCCCAGACUCCUACGGGAGCAGCAGUGGGAAUCUUGGACAAUGGGCGCAAGCCUGAUCCAGCCAUG
rnacentral:rRNA from 1 species